rnacentral:rRNA from 1 species
AUCAACGCUUGGCCGGCGUGCCUCAGACAUGCAAGUCGAACGAUUAAGACUCCCUUCGGGGAGUGUAUAAAAGUGGCGCACGGGUGAGUAACACGUAAAGUAAUCUGCCUUUGAGUGGGGAAUAACCCGGGGAAACCCGAGCUAAUACCGCAUAACGCAGCGGCAUCGCAAAGGAUGACAGUUGUUUAAAGGAGCAAUCCGCUUGAAGAGGAAGCUUUGCGGGCAGAUUAGCUAGUUUGGUAAGGUAAACGGCUUACCAAAGGCUACGAUCUGUAUCCGGUCUAAGAGGACGGUCGGACACACUGACACUGAAUAACGGGUCAGACUCCUACGGGAGGCAGCAGUCGGGAAUUUUGGGCAAUGGGCGAAAGCCUGACCCAGCACACGCCGCGUGAGGGAUGAAGUAUUUCGGUAUGUAAAACCUCGAAAGAAUGGGAAAGAAUAAAUGACGGUACCAUUUAUAAGCCCCGGCUAACUACGUGCCAGCAGCCGCGGUAAUACGUAGGGGGCAAAGCGUUGUUCGGAUUUACUGGGGCGUUAAAGGGGCGCGUAGGCGGCAAUUCAAGUCAGCUGUGAAAUCUCCGGGCUUAACUCGGAACGGUCAGCUGAUACUGCUUUGCUAGAGUGCAGAAGGGGCAAUCGGAAUUCUUGGUUGUAGCGGUGAAAUGAAAUGCGUUAGAUAUCAAGAGGAACACCUGAGGUGAAGACGGGUUGCUGGGCUGACACUGACGCUGAGGCGCGAAAGCCAGGGGAGCAAAACGGGAUUAGAUACCCCGGUAGUCCUGGCCCCUAAACGAUGGAUACUUGGUGGUCUGGAGUUAUUAUCGCUCCGGGUUGCCGUCGCUAACGUUUUUAGUAUCCCCGCCUGGGGGAGUACGCACGCAAGUGUGAAACUCAAAGGAAUUGACGGGGACCCGCACAAGCGGUGGAGCAUGUGGUUUAUUUAAUUCGACGCAACGCGAAGAAACCUUACCUAGGCUAGAAUGUGAGGGGAAUUUCGGGUAAUGCCGAAAGUCCGGGGAAACCGGACCCAAAACAAGGUGCUGCAUGGCCGUCGUCAGCUCGUGUCGUGAGGAUGUUGGGUUAAGUCCCGCAACGAGCAGCAACCCUUGUCUGCUGUUGCCAUCAGGUAAUGCUGGGCACUCUGCAGAGACUGCCGGUGAUAAACCGGAGGAAGGUUGGGGAUGACGUCAAGUCAGCAUGGGCCUUUUAUGUCUGGGGCUACACACGUGCUACAAUGGCCGGUUACAAACCGUCGCAAAAAACCGUUAAGGUCGAGCUAAUCGGAGGGAAGAAGCCGGUCUCAGUUCGGAUUAGCAGGGCCUGCAACUCGCCUGCUUGAAGUUGGAAAUCGCUAGUAAUCGCGGAUCAGCACGGCCGCGGGUGAAUACGUUCCCGGGCCCUUGUACACACCGCCCCGUCACAUCACGAAAGCCCGGUUUGUACUAGAAGUCGCUACAAUCAACCCCGCAAGGGGGAGAGGCGCCUAAGGUAUGGUCGGUGAUUGGGGUG